ACGGAGGGUGCGAGCGUUGUCCGGAAUCACUGGGCGUAAAGGGCGCGUAGGCGGUCUGCUAAGCGUGUGGUGAAAGCUCGGGGCUCAACCCCGAGUCUGCCAUGCGAACUGGGGGACUGGAGCUUGUCAGAGGCAGGCGGAAUUCCGGGUGUAGCGGUGGAAUGCGUAGAGAUCCGGAAGAACACCGGUGGCGAAGGCGGCCUGCUGGGACAGUGCUGACGCUGAGGCGCGACAGCGUGGGGAGCAAACAGGA
rnacentral:rRNA from 1 species